rnacentral:rRNA from 1 species
AACGAACGCUGGCGGCAGGCCUAACACAUGCAAGUCGAACGGUUGUAGCUAUACAUCAGUGGCGCACGGGUGAGUAACACGUGGGAACGUGCCCUUCACUACGGGACAACGUCGGGAAACUGACGCUAAUACCGUAUAAUGUCUCCGGACCAAAGAUUUAUCGGUGAAGGAUCGGCCCGCGUCUGAUUAGCUAGUUGGUGAGGUAAUGGCUCACCAAGGCGACGAUCAGUAGCUGGUUUGAGAGAAUGAUCAGCCACACUGGGACUGAGACACGGCCCAGACUCCUACGGGAGGCAGCAGUGAGGGAUCUUGGACAAUGGGCGCAAGCCUGAUCCAGCCAUGCCGCGUGAGUGAUGAAGGCCUUAGGGUUGUAAAGCUCUUUUGCCGGGGAUGAUAAUGACCGUACCCGGAGAAUAAGCCACGGCUAAAUUCGUGCCAGCCGCCGCAGUAA